CCGGAGGCCCCCCUCUCCCUUUCCGGCGCAUCGUCGCGUUUGUUCAUGUACCGCCGCGUGUAGGACGUACUAACGAACUUUCUCUUUACGUUCUCGCGGCCAUCGCGGCUGUCACAACCUCGUGGUUUUUGGCGUUGCCUUAUAAGCCGUUCCCUCCAUUCGUUCCUUGCGGGAAGCGACGUCUAAAGCACUUUACCCUUUCGCACAGCAAUCGAAGCCUCGUGGGUUUUGGCGUGGCCUGUUUGGCUGUAUCGCGCCGUUCCCUCCGUUCGUUCCUGGCGGAGCGACGUCCAAAGACCUACAGAAGGGCUCUUUAUGUCCCUCUGUCCGGUGGUGGUUGCAAGCGAGGCCUGCACCGUUAUUGCCAUCACCAUAGUCUGAAGACCUACAGCAGGGCUCUGCCUGGCUCUGCGUCCCUCUGUCCAGUGGUGGUCGCAAGUGAGGCCUGCACCGUAAUUGCCAUCACCAUAGUCUGAAGGUUUUCUGCACGUAAAGCGCAAGAUGGAGCAUGGACAAGUUUUUUUUGUUUUUUUAAUCGUCCAAGGCAUGGAGUUUUACUGAAGGUUUCUUCAGAUGAAAGCGUAGACUGGGGUCCGAACAAGGUGUUCUUUUUUUAACUGGCCCAGGCACAUUGUUUUAUUGAAGGUUUUCUGCACGUAAAGUGCAAGAUGGAGCAUAGACAAGUUUUUGUUUCGUUAAUUGCCUGAGGCCCAAAGCACGGUGUUUUACUGGAAUGCAGGUCUCCUCGGAGGAAAACAUUAGGCGGCGAGAUGUGCUGGCCUUCCCUUAUGGUCCAGACCAGUUGUUUUCAUCAAGGGAGCAUUGAGAUAGCCCUACACCUCGGAAGAAGUACCCAUAAACGAAUUUUAGAUAUAAUAAAGAGCUAUUACAAUUU